rnacentral:lncRNA from 1 species
UAAAAGUGGGUGUCUCCUGCCUUCGGGGAUCUUUUCUUUCUUGGUUUAAAAUAUUUUCCUGAUGACUUAGCUUGGUAUUUUAGUCAUGCAUCAUGUUAGUAUGUCUUCUAUGGUCCUGUUGCAUGGCUCUUGAUAACUCACAGUAUAGAUACUCAAGAUAAAAACAUCAGCGCCUUCCAUUAACCCUGUAUGGAUGGAUCCUGGUGAUUUUAUUAUAUAUAUAUAUAGUUUUUUUCAGGCUUUUGCUUUUGGCAGUCGCUGAAAUGUUUUCAAUCUUUCUAAUUUUGGCUUCUCUGAAAUGUUCUAUAAAUGCAAUCAUGCAAUAGGUGACCUUUUGAGAUAAAUUUUUCCCACUCAGCAUAAUUCCCUUAUGACACAUAUAAGUGUGUCAAGAGUUCAUUCCUUUUUAUUGCUUAAUAAUAGUCCGGCGGCGUGUGUUUGUGCCAGUUUGUUUAUCCAGUCCACAGUUGAAGGAUAUUUGGGUUGAUUAAAGCUUUUGCUUUUUUUUUUUUUGAUAAUUACAAUUGCAGCUGCUGUCAUCUUGGGACUAUGUCGAUGAGUCGGUUGCCUCUGGUUUCUCAGUUAAUACACAUGUGUUUAAUUUAACAAGAAACUACCAAACCUUUGUCCAAAGUGUAAUAGUUUUAUGUUCCCAUUAGUGGUGUAAAAGAGUUGUAGUUUUUCUGUGUCUCUGCUAGUGGCCUUGACAUAGGCACUGUAUGUUAUUUUAGUUAUGUUAGUGGAGUAUGUAAUGCCUUAGUUUGCUGCAUUUGGGUAGUUUUUAUCUGUACAUUUGAUAAAGUAUUUUGCCCAUUAUAUAGUUGAGUUGUUUCACUACUUUAGAGUUUAGCGAAUGCUUUAUGUAAUUCUGAAUAUGGAUCUCUUGUCAGACAUAUGAUUUGCCAGUAUUUCCUAACAGCUUACCUUUAAAAAAUCCUUUCAAUGAGAUAUUUCACAGAGAACAAAACAUUUGUAAUUUUUUGUUUUAUUCUAUUUGUAUGAGUGCUUUGCCUGCAUGUAUGUAUAUGUACCACAUAUGGUGCUCAUGGAGGUCAGAAAAGGAAGCCAGAGCUCUUAGAAAUGGAGUUAGCAGACGGUUGUAAGCCACCAUAUUGGUGCUAGGAACCAAACCUGGGUCCACAGUACGAGCAGCCCAUGCUCUUAACCAUGGAACCAUUUCUUUAGCUCCAGAUUUUCAGCUUUGAGGGACUCAGUUUGUUUCCUUUUCCAUUAGUGGAUUGUGUUUCUGAAGUUGUGUCUAAGGACACUUCACCCACUGCAGGUCACAAUGAUUGAUACUAUCUCUAAGUUUUCAUGCACAGGUUCAGUUUCAGGACCUCACACAUGCCAAGGAAGCUCCAACUUAUAGCUAGAAUUUUAUAGCUUUAGAUUUUUAAUAUACAUUUGCUGUUUAUGUUGAGUUGACUACUUUGGAAGCACUGAGAUUUAAAUGGGAGAUUUUUGUUUGUGUGUUUGGAGCCUGAGGCAUUUACCUUUGAGAUCUUAGAAGUCACUUACACCUUCAUUUGCCUCACUUUUAUCUUUGUUUAAUUGGGGAUAAGGCAGACUGAGCAGUAUACCUCAGGAUACCUGUGGUCUCAGCUCCUCAAGAGAAGUCCAAGAAUUUGAGGUCCGUUUGAGCUAUAGAUGGAAACCCUGUUUC